rnacentral:rRNA from 1 species
GACAGAGGAUGCAAGUGUUAUCCGGAAUCACUGGGCGUAAAGCGUCUGUAGGUUGUUUAAAAAGUCUGCAGUUAAAGGUUGAAGCUUAACUUCAAAAAUGCCGUAGAAACUUUUAAACUAAGAGGAUGGUAGGGUAGAGGGAAUUUCCGAGUGGAGGCGGUGGAAAUUGUGUAGAUAUUGGAAAAGACCACCGAUGGCGAAGGCUACUCUACUGGGCCAUGACUGACACUGAGAGACGAAAGCUAGGGGAGCAAAUGGGA